rnacentral:lncRNA from 1 species
CCUGGAACACACCUUAACUCUCUAAGGGGCAGCGGGGGUCCCUGGAACCGAGAGGAUGAAAUCUGGGCCCUGACUUGAAGCACGAGUGAAGGAUGGUAUUUUUUUUUUACCCCCUUUCUAGGGUCUGAGGCAGAACUCACGGACCCACACUUAGGAGCGCCUUUCCAACCAUUUUGUCCGCUAGGUAGAAAACUUUCCAAAAAUCAUCUCCCACCCUAGGCAAAACACUGAAAACCAAGUUUUCUACGCGCGAGAGAAAAGAGCCGUGGCGAGACAGAUCGAGCCACCCCCAAUACACACCACACACACACACACACACACACACACACACACACACACACGGUGCCCAUCCCACCCGGCUGCGCUCUCCCGCCUCCAGCUCCUCGCCCUGGGGACAGCUGGCAGCCCAGCGCGGGACCAGACACAAAGCGGAUCAGCCUGGGGGCGGGGGCCGACCUGCAGGACUCUCCCUCCAGCAGCCGGCUUUCUGCCACCCUCGCUUAGGACCCUGCGGACACCGCGCCCCGCGUCCACGCCCUCUCCCCAAGCCCCUCCACCCUUAAAAAGAAGGAACGUCCCAAGGCCAGAAGACCUGCCACUCGGCAGCCUGAGGAGCCACCCCGGACCAAAGAGACUGACAUCGCGACCGGACCCGCCCCUCUGCCUCCACCUCUCCGGGACUUUUGCUGCUCCGCCGCCCCGCCAAGAGCUAGGGGCCGGCCCGCCUGUCACGCUCCAGCGGGGGGACCCUGGGCUACGCAGCCAUCUGGUGCCCGCGUAGAUGGCGAGGAGCCCCCAAGGCCUCUUGCUGCUGCUGCUGCUGCACUACUUAAUGGUCGCCCUGGACUGUAAGUCUCUGGGGUACCUCCACCCCGCCACCCUCCUACCCACUCUCGAGAGCCGCUGUACCAGCCUUCCGGACGCUUGCCCGCAGGCGUGGCGCUCAGGGCUGGGGAUCUGCCACCCGGCAUCAGGUUUUGCGCUCUGGGAGCCCGAAGGGUAAUCCGGAUACAGGCAGGCUCUAGGAGGGGAGACUCAAGGCUUGAGUGUCUUGUAAAUAGUGUCGGGUUUUGUCAGUUUACGUUGAAGAAAAUUAAGUCUCAUCUCCUUGCAAAGUUGGGGGAAGUUUUCGAAGACACACGGACGUGAUCAGAAUGCAAAACUCAAAAGUAUUCAAGAUGCAAAGAGCUCAAGAAAGAUGGCAUCCGGGGUUGGCGCAGGGCACUCUUAAGUGCCAGCGGCGGAGGGGUCA